AUCGACGAUAUCAAUUUAUCAUGCAACCAGCACUGUUUCAAUUUUAUUCGACAAUUAUGUGGAACGAUUCUAUCGAGGCAAGAAAUUGAAACGAGACCUGCCGAUUUAUCCGAACGAGUGAAAACAAUGCGAUGUUCAGCUACGACACCAGAACGAAAUCCUAAGAGUUGCACACAGAACGAAGCACGGCUGGAAAGCCCUAUCUCAUACAAUUUUACGACUUGGCCUGUGCAAUGAACGCGUUCUGUUGUUGCAACCAGAACAAACGCAACAAAAAGAAAAAAAAUAACCUCGGUAGAGGAAUAAAGGAAAAAAGAGGAGAACGAAAAAAAAAAAUAAAUAAAUAAAACAACACAGGGAAUCUAUGCAUCAGAAUCGAGGUGCACCCAGGGAAUAAUUUCAAACGAACGAGCUCGCGGCGAGACGCGUGACUUUCCCGGGAGCUUUUCGAUUAAAGGGAAACGGCUAACGAUGAACAUUGUUUGGACGCAUUCGAUGCAGCUGGUAAACCAAAAGUACAGUUCGCGUAUUCGAGUCGGGACACGGAUCCCGGAUAAUCCUACUUUGCCGACCAACCACACGACCAUCGUCCUCUGUUCAUUGUUCGUUAGCGAAUCCCACGUAAUUAUCCCUUAUUUACGCCUCCGCAAACAACCACGUCUCUAAGUCAUGAUUAUCUUCAAAGUAAAUUCGACGUUUGAAUCGAAAAUGAGAAAUCAGCAAUUGAAACUUUGUAAAAA